rnacentral:lncRNA from 1 species
CUUCCUCCACAGUCCACACCCCAGGCCCAACCCCAUACGCUGUCCCAACCUCUUCCUCCACAGUCCACACCCCAGGCCCAACCCCAUACGCUGUCCCAACCUCUUCCUCCACAGUCCACACCCCAGGCCCAACCCCAUACGCUGUCCCAACCUCUUCCUCCACAGUCCACACCCCAGGCCCAACCCCAUACGCUGUCCCAACCUCUUCCUCCACAGUCCACACCCCAGGCCCAACCACAGGUACAACCCCAGGCCCAACCCCAGUCCACACCCCAGGCCCAACCACAGGCCCAACCCCAAUCCACACCCCAGGCCCAACCCCAGGCCUAACCCCAGUCCACACCCCAGGCCCAACCCCAGUCCACACCCCUGGCCCAACCACAGACCCAACCCCAAUCCACACCCCAGGCCCAACCCCAGGCCCAACCCCAGUCUACACCCCAGGCCCAACCCCAGUCCACACCCCAGGCCCAACCCCAGGUACAACCAUUUUAAAACAUACAUUUCCAUACUUUUUUGCACAUACUGAUUGAAUUGUUAACUAUGUAUGCUGUUAGUAGAAUUGUACCUAAAAUGUCUGACAAUUUUUUGCCCUUGGAAGCCCGAAUGAAUAGACACCAUUAUCAUCGAGGACCACUUUGGAAACAAGUGUUUUAAUGUUUCAGUGUUAUCCUCUGCAAAUACACUGCACACCUUGCUGUAUGAUUUUAAACGAAAUAAAUUCACUUUAAAUUGGUGAAGGGUUACACAUCAAGUAAUAAAAUGUAAACUAGAGGACUCUUAUUGGCCAUUGACUAGAGUGUUCUUGUUAGGUUCAAACCUUCCAACUACCUUCCAAAGACGUCGAUCACCUGGGGGGAAAAACUAUGAGAAAAAAUCCACAGCUUGUGGAUACAUCUGUGGCGUUUCAGAGUUGAAGACGAGGGAUCAGGGGAAAUACUUUCAAGCAGUUCUACAGCAAGCGGAUAGGCCGAUGGACAUUCUCAUUUUGGAACCAGAGCAACGAAAAAGUUUUUCAGGAGCCGAGAAGAAGGUCUUCAGUUAAGCUGAAGAGAACCUCAUUUGAGAAACUUGGCAUAAACAAGUACAAAGAUGGAAUAAAGUUGAAACAAAUCCAAAUUGACUAUCGUGAAAGGCAAAAAGACUACAGAAGGAAGCCACUGCUGAGCAAAUAUAAGAAACAGUUUUAAUUAAAGAUGUUAGAACAUACUCUUUCACUGACAGUGUGUGGAGUUCAAUGUCCAGACCAAAGGGAAUUAAUGAAUUACCUAGCCUACAUUAUGUAAGUAGUUUUUUUUUAUUAGAAGUAGCCAUUAAAGCUGCACCGUAACAGCA